rnacentral:misc_RNA from 1 species
GAAAAUAUAUAGUGCAAACUAAAUUUGUAGUGGAAAUUUGGAAACUACCGUUGGAUCGAAAAAUAGACGUCCGAGAUUCGUCCACGUCAUCAUGAGUUAAAAGUUAACUCCUAGUAAAAAUUUAAUUCAUUAGUGAAUCUGCGAGUUAAAUUUUAACUCAUGGUGACAUGGACGAAUCUCGGACGUCUAUUUCUCGAUCCAACGGUAGUUUCUAAGUUUCCACUACAUAUAUGGUUUUCACUACAUAUUU